rnacentral:rRNA from 1 species
AGUCUGUGUGCACGGCCUGAUCGCAACAUUU